AUGCCUCCCUAUUCACCUCAGUCAAAUGGGGUGGCCGAAAGAAAGAACGGUACUCUAACAGAUUUGGUUAAUGCCAUGUUAGACACAUUGGGUCUCUCCAAGGCAUGGUGGGGGGAGGCGAUAUUGACUGCAUGUCAUGUCCUAAACCGAGUUCCCACAAAGAAUAAAGAGAUAACUCCAUUCGAGGAAUGGGAGAAGAAGAGAUUAAAACUCUCUUAUCUACGAACCUGGGGUUGUUUGGUGAAAGUCAAUGUGCCAAUUCCGAAGAAGCGCAAGCUUGGACCAAAGACCGUGGAUUGUGUUUUCCUGGGAUAUGCUUUUCAUAGCAUUGGUUAUAGAUUCUUGGUUGUAAAAUCUAAAGUACAUGGCAUGCAUGUCGGUACGAUCAUGGAGUCGAAUGAUGCGACUUUCUUUGAAGAUAUCUUUCCCAUGAAGGAUAUGGCUACCUCAUCUAAUCAGGAGAUGCCUAGUUCAUCGAAUCAGGAACCAAUUACAAUUAUUGAACCUGUCAUUUCGAUGGAACACUUUGAAAAUCCUGUGGAGAAGAACAAUGAAGUUCCUACUAGGAGAAAGAGACAGAGGACUGCAAAGUCUUUUGGUGAUGAUUUUCUUGUGUAUCUCAUAGAUGACACUCCCAGUUCUAUUUCAGAGGCCUAUGCAUCUGAAGAUGCUGACUACUGGAAGGAAGCAAUUCGUAGCGAGAUGGAUUCCAUCUUGGCGAAUGAAACUUGGGAGAUAACUGAUCGUCCUUAUGGGUGCAAACCUAUAGGAUGCAAAUGGGUAUUCAAGAAGAAGCUUAGGCCUGACGGUACUAUUGAAAAUUACAAGGCUCGGAUCGUGGCUAAGGGUUAUACCCGAAAGGAAGGUGAAGACUUCUUUGAUACUUACUCACUUGUGGCUCGACUGAACACUAUUCGAGUUCUACUUUCACUAGCUGCCUCACAUGGUAUUCUCGUUCAUCAAAUGGAUGUUAAGAUUGCUUUCCUAAAUGGAGAGUUAGAUGAGGAAAUUUAUAUGGAACAACCAGAUGGGCUUGUACUAGAUGGUCAAGAAGGAAAAGUGUGCAAGUUGCUGAAGUCUUUGUAUGGACUCAAGCAAGCACCCAAACAGUGGCAUGAGAAGUUUGAAAGAACUUUAACAUCUGCAGGCUUUGUUGUAAACAAAGCUGAUAAAUGUGUGUACUAUUGCCAUGGUGGGGGCGAGGGAGUUAUCCUUUGCUUGUAUGUUGAUGACAUACUAAUUUUCGGAACAAAUCUGAAUGUUAUUAAGGAGGUCAAGGAUUUCCUAUCUCGUUGUUUUGAGAUGAAGGAUUUAGGAGUGGCUGAUGUCGUUCUGAACAUCAAGUUGUUGAGAGACGAUGAUGGUGGGAUUACAUUGCUUCAAUCUCGCUAUGUGGAAAAGAUCUUGAGUCGCUUUGGCUAUCGUGACUGCAAGCCCUCUCCAACACCAUAUGAUGCGAGUGUGUUACUUCGAAAGAAUCGAAGAAUUGCUAGAGAUCAAUUGAAAUAUUCUCAGAUUAUUGGCUCGCUUAUGUACUUAGCCAGUGCUACAAGACCUGACAUCUCUUUUGCUGUUAGCAAACUGAGUCGGUUUGUCUCAAAACCAGGAGAUGUGCAUUGGAAAGCUCUAGAGAGAGUUUUGCGUUAUUUGAAAGGCACUGCGAAUUAUGGAAUUCACUACACCAGGCACCCAAAGGUCCUUGAAGGGUAUAGUGACUCAAACUGGAUCUCAGAUGCUGAUGAGAUAAAGGCCACGAGCGGUUAUGUAUUCACUCAUGGAGGUGGCGCUGUUUCUUGGAAGUCUUGCAAGCCGACCAUCUUAACGAGGUCAACAAUGGAAGCAGAACUCACAGCACUAGAUACAGCUACGGUCGAAGCAGAUUGGAUUCGCCGGCUCUUGAAUGACUUGCCGGUUGUUGAGAAACCUGUACCGGGUAUCCUUAUGAACUGCGACAAUCAAACUGUGAUCACGAAAGUGAGCAGCUCAAAGCAUAACAUGAAGUCAUCAAGACACGUUCAGAGAAUGUUAAAGUCUGUUAGAAAAAUGAGAAACUCUGGAGUUAUUGCAUUGGAUUAUAUCCAAACGUCUAAAAAUCUGGCAGAUCCUUUUACUAAGGGUCUAUCACGUAAUGUGAUAGAUAAUGCAUCGAGGGAGAUGGGCAUGAGACCUACAAUAUGA
rnacentral:rRNA from 1 species